rnacentral:lncRNA from 1 species
UCUUCUGGAAAUACUACAUGGUCAAGAGCAGUCUACACACAGCUUUAAGCUUAAAGUCUGUUCCAUCCCGCCACCACCAACAGCUUCUUUAAAAUAUGAAGACUUCGAAGUUAUUUAUCCAAACCAACCUGAUCAUUUCUUAAGAGUGAAUAUACCUUGGAAGACGUGUCCUGCCUUUAGUAGCGUCACAAUGGAUUACAUCCUCUAUAAAGCAGUCUGGGGUGAGAAAAUCGAAUUUGGACACCGUUGAGGAGACUAUUGCAGUCAUCCAAGCUCAAGAUGGUGGAGCUUCAUCCUUGAGAAUAACCAAUGGGGAUAGAUUUAAGAGACACUUAGAGUCUGCAGCCAACAGGGCUGAAUGAGCAUUCUGUUUUUCCUCUUCUAAUCCUUCACCCAUCUGAGCUAAAGUCUAGACCUAAGGAGGCUACUAAUUCAGGGAUCGAGUAAUCUGCCAAGCAAGAGUUUAUUCAAGCACAGUUUGAAAUAAAGGUUUCAAAUGCAUAGCCUGUCGAUACUUUGGAAGGAUUCUCAUCAUAACGAGUAUGCAAUUUGCUAUAAAGAAGAAUGCCCAUUACGGACUAAAUGUUUAUGUCCUCCUAAAAUUCAUAUGUUGAAGGCCUAACUCUCAAUGUGAUGAUUAUGUGGAGAUGGUGCCUUUGGGAGGUAACUGGGCUUAGAUGUGGGCGUGAGGGUGGGGCCUCAUGGUGAAAUUUGUGCCCUUGUAAGAAAAACACACCACAGGUUUUCAUUCUUCCUCUGCCACAUGAGGCCACAGUAAGAAUGUGACCAUCUGCUAGCCAGGAGGAAAGUCCUCACUGGAACCCGCCCAUAAUAACACUCCAGUCUGGGGCUUUUCAGCCUCCAGAACCAUGAGAAAUAAAUUUCUAGUGUUUAAGUCA